ACAGGGUGUCCCAAAAAUGUUGUAACACGUUGAAAGAGAUGGUUCGGGAGGUGAUUUGAAACAACUUUUUCCUUAGCGAGAAUGUUGUCCGAGGCUUCGUUGAGGAGAUAUUAACGAAAAACACUGACCAAUCAGAGCGCGCGUAUACCGUUGGAGCGGCCGUGGUAGCGAAGACUACGAGCUAAGCGGCCGCGCUUGUACGCGAACAAGCGACUCGACGUGCAUCGAAGGACAUUGGACGCGGCCGCUUGGCUCGUAGUCUUCGCUACCGCGGCCGCUCCAACGAUAUACGCGCGCUGUGAUUGGUCGAGGUUUCCCGUUAAUAUCUCCUCAACGAAGCCUCGGACAACAUUCUCGCUAAGGAAAAAGUUGUUUCAAAUCACCUCCCGAACCAUCUCUUUCAACGUGUUACAACAUUUUUGGGACACCCUGUAUUUCAGCUGGGCCCUAGAUUCGAUCGUUACGCCACUGGAACCCCACUUAUAUUUACGCCGCACAUUCCGAGCAUGUUGUAUAACGCGUGCAUCGGGCACGAUGCGCGCGCGCGCGCGCACGUGAGUGAUAACGCGACGACAACCGGGAACGAUAUUUAUACUCGACUUUCCAACGUCGAAACGCGAGGUAUAUAUAUUUCUCUUCUCUACCAGUUUUCGUGGCUCGAGUAACAACAGUUCCCUACGAUCGUCCGUGCGACCUUGACUGGCCACAGCGAAGACAACCAGAAGUGGGUAAGAAUAAAGUCGCCCAACUUGUUGCGAAAGAAGAGACGCGCCUCUUUCGAAGCCCGUGCACACACAAAAGACUCGAGGGAACUAAAGGAUCGUUUCGAUUGACACGUGGCGCGAUGGAAACCUAACUCGAGAGAAUAAACGGCGGAACGGAUCGAAAAAGAGAGAUUUCGAUUAAUGGAUUUCGAUGCAAGGAGAGAACACACGCGCGAGAAUUCAACGGAAAACACUGGAGAUAGAAUACAGACACGGUACGCGCGGCGACUAGAUGACGACUAGAGUCACGGUGCUGUAGCGAGUUGCAGCGAGCUACGAUGUGGUUGUAGAGCUGCAGCACAGCGGCCGAAACCGAAACGGCGCUGCACUCUCGCUCUAUCUCGACUCUCUGUUACACAAUCCACGCAUGUAUACCGGGGUCUUUCUACUAGACAUAUUAUUAAUAGAGAUGCUUGUACAUUUGGUGUAGAAAUUAAAUACGUGCCUUUA